UACAGAGGGCCCAAGCGUUGUUCGGAUUCACUGGGCGUAAAGGGUGCGUAGGUGGUGAGGUAAGUCGGAUGUGAAAUCUCCGGGCUCAACCCGGAAAUGGCAUUGGAAACUACCUUGCUUGAGGGUUUGAGGGGGGAUUGGAAUACUUGGUGUAGCAGUGAAAUGCGUAGAUAUCAAGUGGAACACCAGUGGCGAAGGCGAAUCCCUGGAAAAUACCUGACGCUGAGGCACGAAAGCUAGGGGAGCAAACAGG
rnacentral:rRNA from 1 species